rnacentral:rRNA from 1 species
AAUAGAUACCCAGGUAGUCCACGCCGUAAACGAUGAGUGCUAAGUGUUAGAGGGUUUCCGCCCUUUAGUGCCGCAGCUAACGCAUUAAGCACUUCGCCUGGGGAGUACGGCCGCAAGGCUGAAACUCAAAGGAAUUGACGGGGGCCCGCACAAGCGGUGGAGCAUGUGGUUUAAUUCGAAGCAACGCGAAGAACCUUACCAGGUCUUGACAUCCUCUGCCAACCCUAGAGAUAGGGCGUUCCCCUUCGGGGGACAGAGUGACAGGUGGUGCAUGGUUGUCGUCAGCUCGUGUCGUGAGAUGUUGGGUUAAGUCCCGCAACGAGCGCAACCCUUGAUCUUAGUUGCCAGCAUUCAGUUGGGCACUCUAAGGUGACUGCCGGUGACAAACCGGAGGAAGGUGGGGAUGACGUCAAAUCAUCAUGCCCCUUAUGACCUGGGCUACACACGUGCUACAAUGGAUGGUACAAAGAGCUGCGAACCCGCGAGGGUAAGCCAAUCUCAUAAAGCCAUUCUCAGUUCGGAUUGUAGG